AAGUUUCACAGAGUUAUUAGCCCUUUUGAAAGAUAUGCUUUCCUGAGGAUAAUGUUCUUCCCAAUCGAACAUAUGAGACCAAAAAGAUGUUGUGCUCUAUUGGCAUGAGCUAUGAUAAGAUACAUGCAUGUCCAAACGAUUGCGUUUUGUUUCGAAAUGAGUAUGCAUCGUUAAAUGAGUGUCCUAAAUGCGGUGUCUCGCGAUAUAAGAACAAGUUGUCUCCAGCAAAGGUCUUGUGG
rnacentral:lncRNA from 1 species